rnacentral:rRNA from 1 species
UGGAAGUAAAAGUCGUAACAAGGUCUCCGUUGGUGAACCAGCGGAGGGAUCAUUACCGAGUUUACAACUCCCAAACCCAAUGUGAACGUUACCAAACUGUUGCCUCGGCGGGAUCUCUGCCCCGGGUGCGUCGCAGCCCCGGACCAAGGCGCCCGCCGGAGGACCAACCAAAACUCUUUUGUAUACCCCCUCGCGGGUUUUUUAUAUCUGAGCCAUCUCGGCGCCUCUCGUAGGCGUUUCGAAAAUGAAUCAAAACUUUCAACAACGGAUCUCUUGGUUCUGGCAUCGAUGAAGAACGCAGCGAAAUGCGAUAAGUAAUGUGAAUUGCAGAAUUCAGUGAAUCAUCGAAUCUUUGAACGCACAUUGCGCCCGCCAGUAUUCUGGCGGGCAUGCCUGUCCGAGCGUCAUUUCAACCCUCGAACCCCUCCGGGGGGUCGGCGUUGGGGAUCGGCCCUUUACGGGGCCGGCCCCGAAAUACAGUGGCGGUCUCGCCGCAGCCUCUCCUGCGCAGUAGUUUGCACACUCGCAUCGGGAGCGCGGCGCGUCCAUUGCCGUAAAACACCCAACUUUCUGAAAUGUUGACCUCGGAUCAGGUAGGAAUACCCGCUGAACUUAAGCAUAUCAAUAAGCGGAGGAA